rnacentral:misc_RNA from 1 species
CGCGGCCUUUCGCUUCGCCGGAAAAUGUCUGGCCCAGGAUGGCGAGACUGUUCGGCAUCAGCAUCGCCGCACUCGCGCCCUGAACGAAGCGCGCGGCGAGCAGCCAGCCCAGCGUCGGAGCCAACGCACAUGCCAACGAAGCAAGUGCGAACAGCGCGACGCCCGCGAUCAGCAACCGCCUGCGGCCAUAGCGAUCUCCCGC